AAAAACACUGCCCGCAUCUGCCCCUUUCUUAUGCAAGAUGCUGCCAAGGAGCUUGUGUAUGCUCUGGUAAUCACAUGGAUUACUGUAAUUCUUUCCUAGUUGGUCUUCCCAGAAGCUGAACUACCCCACUACAGUUAGUAAUCAAUCCUGCAGCCAGGCUGAUCUAUCUCACCUGUCGCUCCUCCCAUACCUCACCCCUCUGUUGAUC